CAAAAUAAAACUCUAAAGAGGCAAUAGACAGCCUAAUUCAUGCCGAAAAUCCGGCAGAGUUUCCCCUAUACCUGGGACCUACCCAACCUGCAAAAAGGCUCAAAUAACACUUCUAAAUUCUCAAUUUCCACAAUCACAUCUCAUCAAUAUCACAUGGCCCCUCCUGGGCCCUCCAAAUCAGACAAUACUCAAAAUCUUAAAAAUUACGUUUUAGUCCCUAUAAUUGACAUUUUUCAAAAAUCCACUCAAACAAGCUCUAAAAAUUCUAAAAUUUUGUCUCGCGGUCCUUAAUAAUAUUAUAAGGCUAUUGCAAAAUGAAUUGUAAUUUUCUAAUCACCCAUGAAUAUUUUAUUCAAGAAUUUUACUCAAUUCCAUAAGUUUCCAACAGCUAACAUAUUCCUAAUUCAACCCAAUUAAAUAUUCACAUAUUUAAACCUCCAUCCUCAAGCUUCAACCAAUUAUAUAAAAUUUAAUUAUCUUAAUUUCAAUUAAUCUUAUAUGCCCACAUGCUAAAAAUAUAACUAAAAUCCAUCCAUAUUUCUCAAAAAUAUUCUACGAUCACCCAAAAAUUCAACUAACACCAUAGAAUAUCUCCAAAUAAUUUUACUUUCAUCAUAUAUUUUUCUUAGAAUUUUUCUCCAAUUUUUCCUGUUUAAGAAACACUGUAUUUAUGCUCCACAGACAGAGAAAUAAUAAAAAUUGUCUUACCCGAAGUUGAUCUGUGUUUCAAAAAUUCCAAAA
rnacentral:misc_RNA from 1 species